rnacentral:rRNA from 14 species
AGCAGCCGCGGUAAUACGGAGGGAGCUAGCGUUGUUCGGAAAUACUGGGCGUAAAGCGCACGUAGGCGGAUCGUUAAGUGAGGGGUGAAAUCCCAGGGCUCAACCCUGGAACUGCCUUUCAUACUGGCGAUCUUGAGUUCGAGAGAGGUGAGUGGAAUUCCGAGUGUAGAGGUGAAAUUCGUAGAUAUUCGGAGGAACACCAGUGGCGAAGGCGGCUCACUGGCUCGAUACUGACGCUGAGGUGCGAAAGUGUGGGGAGCAAACAGGAUUAGAUACCCUGGUAGUCCACACCGUAAACGAUGAGAGCUAGUUGUUGGCAGGCAUGCCUGUCGGUGACGCAGCUAACGCAUUAAGCAUCCCGCCUGGGGAGUACGGCCGCAAGGUUAAAACUCAAAGAAAUUGACGGGGGCCCGCACAAGCGGUGGAGCAUGUGGUUUAAUUCGAAGCAACGCGCAGAACCUUACCUACCCUUGACAUAC